AUACGGAGGAUCCAAGCGUUAUCCGGAUUUAUUGGGUUUAAAGGGUGCGCAGGCGGCCAUUUAAGUCAGCGGUUAAAUCGUGGGGCUCAACCCCAUUCUGCCGUUGAUACUGGGUGGCUUGAUUGCGGUCGAGGUUGGCGGAAUUCGUUGUGUAGCGGUGAAAUGCAUAGAUAUGACGAAGAACACCGAUUGCGUAGGCAGCUGACCAGACCGCAAAUGACGCUCAUGCACGAAAGUGCGGGGAUCGAACAGGAUUAGAUACCCUGGUAGUCCGCACAGUAAACGAUGAAUACUUGUUUUCGGCGAUAUAAUGUCGGAGGCAAAGCGAAAGCGAUAAGUAUUCCACCUGGGGAGUACGCCGGCAACGGUGAAACUCAAAGGAAUGGACGGGG
rnacentral:rRNA from 1 species